UGGUUUGAUUAUGGCUCAGGAUGAACGCUGGCGGCGUGCCUAACACAUGCAAGUCGAGCGAUUUACUUCGGUAAAGAGCGGCGGACGGGUGAGUAACGCGUGGGUAACCUGCCCUGUACACACGGAUAACAUACCGAAAGGUAUGCUAAUACGAGAUAAAAUACUUUUAUCGCAUGGUAGAAGUAUCAAAGCUUUUGCGGUACAGGAUGGACCCGCGUCUGAUUAGCUAGUUGGUAAGGUAACGGCUUACCAAGGCGACGAUCAGUAGCCGACCUGAGAGGGUGAUCGGCCACAUUGGAACUGAGACACGGUCCAAACUCCUACGGGAGGCAGCAGUGGGGAAUAUUGCACAAUGGGCGAAAGCCUGAUGCAGCAACGCCGCGUGAGCGAUGAAGGCCUUCGGGUCGUAAAGCUCUGUCCUCAAGGAAGAUAAUGACGGUACUUGAGGAGGAAGCCCCGGCUAACUACGUGCCAGCAGCCGCGGUAAUACGUAGGGGGCUAGCGUUAUCCGGAAUUACUGGGCGUAAAGGGUGCGUAGGUGGUUUCUUAAGUCAGAGGUGAAAGGCUACGGCUCAACCGUAGUAAGCCUUUGAAACUGGGGAACUUGAGUGCAGGAGAGGAGAGUGGAAUUCCUAGUGUAGCGGUGAAAUGCGUAGAUAUUAGGAGGAACACCAGUUGCGAAGGCGGCUCUCUGGACUGUAACUGACACUGAGGCACGAAAGCGUGGGGAGCAAACAGGAUUAGAUACCCUGGUAGUCCACGCCGUAAACGAUGAGUACUAGCUGUCGGAGGUUACCCCCUUCGGUGGCGCAGCUAACGCAUUAAGUACUCCGCCUGGGAAGUACGCUCGCAAGAGUGAAACUCAAAGGAAUUGACGGGGACCCGCACAAGUAGCGGAGCAUGUGGUUUAAUUCGAAGCAACGCGAAGAACCUUACCUAAGCUUGACAUCCUUUUGACCGAUGCCUAAUCGUAUCUUUCCCUUCGGGGACAGAAGUGACAGGUGGUGCAUGGUUGUCGUCAGCUCGUGUCGUGAGAUGUUGGGUUAAGUCCCGCAACGAGCGCAACCCUUGCCUUUAGUUGCCAGCAUUAAGUUGGGCACUCUAGAGGGACUGCCAGGGAUAACCUGGAGGAAGGUGGGGAUGACGUCAAAUCAUCAUGCCCCUUAUGCUUAGGGCUACACACGUGCUACAAUGGGUGGUACAGAGGGCAGUCAAGUCGUGAGGCGGAGCUAAUCCCUUAAAGCCAUUCUCAGUUCGGAUUGUAGGCUGAAACUCGCCUACAUGAAGCUGGAGUUACUAGUAAUCGCAGAUCAGAAUGCUGCGGUGAAUGCGUUCCCGGGUCUUGUACACACCGCCCGUCACACCACGGAAGUUGGGGGCGCCCGAAGCCACUUAGCUAACCCUUUUGGGAAGCGAGUGUCGAAGGUGAAAUCAAUAACUGGGGUGAAGUCGUAACAAGGUACCC
rnacentral:rRNA from 1 species